GUCCUCAGAAUCACCCUACUUUUCCAUUCUCAUUUGUGCCAGUUACUACAACACACUCUUAUAAGCCAGUUAAGUAUAUCUUGAUCUUUCAUGCCAUCUCACCUUAGUACACAAGUUUAUCUGAGAAGACUUUUCUUUCUACAUCUCUGACUAAUUCCAUCUUUUGCCCACUUUGUUGAUCUCCUCUGUGUCUCCACAGCAGUUUGUAAUUUACCACAGAUAAUUAUGAUGUGUGCAACAACUAUUUAUGUAUAAAUACACUAAUUUUAAAAUUUAUUGGUUCCUGCCAGUGAUAUUAUUCUUCCCUCACCCUUUCAUACUUCCU
rnacentral:lncRNA from 1 species